rnacentral:rRNA from 1 species
UGGGGAAUAUUGCACAAUGGGCGAAAGCCUGAUGCAGCGAUGCCGCGUGAAGGAUGAAGGUUUUCGGAUUGUAAACUUCUGUUAGGUGGGAAGAAAGACCUUUGGCGAAUAACCAAGGGGGAUGACGGUACCAUCAGAGAAAGCCCCGGCUAACUUCGUGCCAGCAGCCGCGGUAAUACGAGGGGGGCAAGCGUUAUUCGGAAUUACUGGGCGUAAAGAGCGUGGAGGUGGCCUCUUAAGUUAUUUGUUAAAUCCUACGGCUUAACCGUAGGCUCGCAAGUAAUACUGAGGGGCUAGAGGAUGAAAGAGAGGGGUGGAACUCCUAGAGUAGCGGUAAAAUGCGUGGAUCCUAGGAUGAACGUCAGUGGCGAAGGCGGCCUCUCAGGUCAUAUCUGACACU